AGCGUACACGGUGGAUGCCCUGGCAGUCAGAGGCGAUGAAGGACGUGCUAAUCUGCGAAAAGCGUCGGUAAGGUGAUAUGAACCGUUAUAACCGGCGAUGUCCGAAUGGGGAAACCCAGUGUGUUUCGACACACUAUCAUUAACUGAAUCCAUAGGUUAAUGAGGCGAACCGGGGGAACUGAAACAUCUAAGUACCCCGAGGAAAAGAAAUCAACCGAGAUUCCCCCAGUAGCGGCGAGCGAACGGGGAGGAGCCCAGAGCCUGAAUCAGUGUGUGUGUUAGUGGAAGCGUCUGGAAAGGCGUGCGAUACAGGGUGACAGCCCCGUACACAAAAAUGCACAUGCUGUGAGCUCGAAGAGUAGGGCGGGACACGUGGUAUCCUGUCUGAAUAUGGGGGGACCAUCCUCCAAGGCUAAAUACUCCUGACUGACCGAUAGUGAACCAGUACCGUGAGGGAAAGGCGAAAAGAACCCCGGCGAGGGGAGUGAAAAAGAACCUGAAACCGUGUACGUACAAGCAGUGGGAGCCCUGAUUUAUCAGGGUGACUGCGUACCUUUUGUAUAAUGGGUCAGCGACUUAUAUUCUGUAGCAAGGUUAACCGAAUAGGGGAGCCGGAGGGAAACCGAGUCUUAACUGGGCGUUAAGUUGCAGGGUAUAGACCCGAAACCCGGUGAUCUAGCCAUGGGCAGGUUGAAGGUUGGGUAACACUAACUGGAGGACCGAACCGACUAAUGUUGAAAAAUUAGCGGAUGACUUGUGGCUGGGGGUGAAAGGCCAAUCAAACCGGGAGAUAGCUGGUUCUCCCCGAAAGCUAUUUAGGUAGCGCCUCGUGAAUUCAUCUCCGGGGGUAGAGCACUGUUUCGGCAAGGGGGUCAUCCCGACUUACCAACCCGAUGCAAACUGCGAAUACCGGAGAAUGUUAUCACGGGAGACACACGGCGGGUGCUAACGUCCGUCGUGAAGAGGGAAACAACCCAGACCGCCAGCUAAGGUCCCAAAGUCAUGGUUAAGUGGGAAACGAUGUGGGAAGGCCCAGACAGCCAGGAUGUUGGCUUAGAAGCAGCCAUCAUUUAAAGAAAGCGUAAUAGCUCACUGGUCGAGUCGGCCUGCGCGGAAGAUGUAACGGGGCUAAACCAUGCACCGAAGCUGCGGCAGCGACACUGUGUGUUGUUGGGUAGGGGAGCGUUCUGUAAGCCUGUGAAGGUGUGCUGUGAAGCAUGCUGGAGGUAUCAGAAGUGCGAAUGCUGACAUAAGUAACGAUAAAGCGGGUGAAAAGCCCGCUCGCCGGAAGACCAAGGGUUCCUGUCCAACGUUAAUCGGGGCAGGGUGAGUCGACCCCUAAGGCGAGGCCGAAAGGCGUAGUCGAUGGGAAACAGGUUAAUAUUCCUGUACUUGGUGUUACUGCGAAGGGGGGACGGAGAAGGCUAUGUUGGCCGGGCGACGGUUGUCCCGGUUUAAGCGUGUAGGCUGGUUUUCCAGGCAAAUCCGGAGAAUCAAGGCUGAGGCGUGAUGACGAGGCACUACGGUGCUGAAGCAACAAAUGCCCUGCUUCCAGGAAAAGCCUCUAAGCAUCAGGUAACAUCAAAUCGUACCCCAAACCGACACAGGUGGUCAGGUAGAGAAUACCAAGGCGCUUGAGAGAACUCGGGUGAAGGAACUAGGCAAAAUGGUGCCGUAACUUCGGGAGAAGGCACGCUGAUAUGUAGGUGAAGCGACUUGCUCGUGGAGCUGAAAUCAGUCGAAGAUACCAGCUGGCUGCAACUGUUUAUUAAAAACACAGCACUGUGCAAACACGAAAGUGGACGUAUACGGUGUGACGCCUGCCCGGUGCCGGAAGGUUAAUUGAUGGGGUCAGCGCAAGCGAAGCUCUUGAUCGAAGCCCCGGUAAACGGCGGCCGUAACUAUAACGGUCCUAAGGUAGCGAAAUUCCUUGUCGGGUAAGUUCCGACCUGCACGAAUGGCGUAAUGAUGGCCAGGCUGUCUCCACCCGAGACUCAGUGAAAUUGAACUCGCUGUGAAGAUGCAGUGUACCCGCGGCAAGACGGAAAGACCCCGUGAACCUUUACUAUAGCUUGACACUGAACACUGGUCCUUGAUGUGUAGGAUAGGUGGGAGGCUUUGAAGUGUGGACGCCAGUCUGCAUGGAGCCGUCCUUGAAAUACCACCCUUUAAUGGCUGGUGUUCUAACGUGGGCCCGUAAUCCGGGUUGCGGACAGUGUCUGGUGGGUAGUUUGACUGGGGCGGUCUCCUCCUAAAGAGUAACGGAGGAGCACGAAGGUUGGCUAAUCCUGGUCGGACAUCAGGAGGUUAGUGCAAUGGCAUAAGCCAGCUUGACUGCGAGCGUGACGGCGCGAGCAGGUGCGAAAGCAGGUCAUAGUGAUCCGGUGGUUCUGAAUGGAAGGGCCAUCGCUCAACGGAUAAAAGGUACUCCGGGGAUAACAGGCUGAUACCGCCCAAGAGUUCAUAUCGACGGCGGUGUUUGGCACCUCGAUGUCGGCUCAUCACAUCCUGGGGCUGAAGUAGGUCCCAAGGGUAUGGCUGUUCGCCAUUUAAAGUGGUACGCGAGCUGGGUUUAGAACGUCGUGAGACAGUUCGGUCCCUAUCUGCCGUGGGCGCUGGAGAACUGAGGGGGGCUGCUCCUAGUACGAGAGGACCGGAGUGGACGCAUCACUGGUGUUCGGGUUGUCAUGCCAAUGGCACUGCCCGGUAGCUAAAUGCGGAAGAGAUAAGUGCUGAAAGCAUCUAAGCACGAAACUUGCCCCGAGAUGAGUUCU
rnacentral:rRNA from 1 species